GAGGAUGUAACUCAGUGAUAGAGUGUGUGCCUAGCACAUGCAGGGUUCUGGGUUCAAUCCCCAGCACUGUUG
rnacentral:tRNA from 1 species